GACGAACGCUGGCGGCGUGCUUAACACAUGCAAGUCGAACGGAAAGGCCCUGCUUUUGUGGGGUGCUCGAGUGGCGAACGGGUGAGUAACACGUGAGUAACCUGCCCUUGACUUUGGGAUAACUUCAGGAAACUGGGGCUAAUACCGGAUAGGAGCUCCUGCUGCAUGGUGGGGGUUGGAAAGUUUCGGCGGUUGGGGAUGGACUCGCGGCUUAUCAGCUUGUUGGUGGGGUAGUGGCUUACCAAGGCUUUGACGGGUAGCCGGCCUGAGAGGGUGACCGGCCACAUUGGGACUGAGAUACGGCCCAGACUCCUACGGGAGGCAGCAGUGGGGAAUAUUGCACAAUGGGCGGAAGCCUGAUGCAGCAACGCCGCGUGCGGGAUGACGGCCUUCGGGUGGUAAACCGCUUUCGCCUGUGACGAAGCGUGAGUGACGGUAAUGGGUAAAGAAGCACCGGCUAGCUACGUG
rnacentral:rRNA from 1 species